ACAAGUCGAGUGUUGGCUUGGGGACUGCCAUGUAAGUGAGGGACCCUAGGUGUUGGUGGAGGAGAGAACGGAAGGAUUAUUGCCUCCCCUCGGCCCCCACCCGCCCGUGCCAAGUUCAGUCAGAAGUGAACAAAAUUUCCUUUUUGGGAUUGAACUCAUCUUGGGCUCUCCAACCGCACAGGACUUGCGGGUAGGGAAAUGAGGCGCAGAGUCCUCUGUGACCAUCGCGUGCAAACUGGCCCCAAACAGAACCGGCCACUAAGAAACAAACCAGGUAUGCGUUGGGGCCCGGGAAGGCACCCUCGCAGAGGACGUUCCCGCAGGUAGUGUGGGACUCCUGCCCCAGGAAGAAGUCGCUGCUGCUUGCAGGGUGGUCUUAGAGAGGCUCGGACCUCUAUUGAGACUCCUCACUUCCUUUUCUCCGGGACCUCGGGUCUUCAGCUUCUUCCGUCCUAGGCUCCCCCACCUCCUGAGUUCUUCCUGGGAGAGUUGUUUGAACCACUGCCUUACCCCCAGGAGGGCUGCCCGAAGUUGGGGAUUUGGCCCACCAAUCCUAGCAAGUUGAGACCCGGCUGGUGAGGCGCGGCGAAGCGGCCCUCCCUCCCGCUACCCCGGGUGGGGUAGGGACUCCCUUUCCCCUUGAGACCCUCUAGCACCCGAGUGUUGAUGAUCAUUACUUUAAAUUAAAAGUCUCUUUUCUCCUUUCCGUCUAAGCCUCAACUUAGUUUCAGAGAAUGAAGCGUGAAAGCUCUUUUAUGGAGAUUACCGAUGCUUCAUUUAUUCCCGCAAAUGGCAAACACAGCCCGGGAAAAACCGAGCGAGCGAGCUCCUUGUCUCGGAUUCUCAGGCACUAAGUUGGGAAAGGCAGAGAGAGGGCUUGCUGUUUGCCUGAACAGUUGCCAAGUUUCAUUAAUUACUCAGUCAUUUUAAUGCGAAAGCAAAUACCAAAAUGCUCUCGUGCCCAUUCUGAAUUAAUGGCCUGCAAAAUUAGAUAAGGAGGGGGCCGAAGGGCGAGUUGAGGUGUUCAGAGGAGUAUUCAACCCUUCUUUCAAACCUAGAAGGUCCCCCCCGCCCCAACCACCAAAUGCCCGAGGUGGUGGUCAGUGAGUUGAAAACCUAAAGCAAAAGCUAUUCCUUAGUGAACAAAGGUUGGAUUCUAAUAAUGACAAACAUCAG
rnacentral:lncRNA from 1 species